rnacentral:rRNA from 1 species
UACGGAGGGGGUUAGCGUUGUUCGGAAUUACUGGGCGUAAAGCGCGCGUAGGCGGAUUAGAAAGUUGGGGGUGAAAUCCCGGGGCUCAACCUCGGAACUGCCUCCAAAACUGCUAGUCUAGAGUUCGAGAGAGGUGAGUGGAAUUCCGAGUGUAGAGGUGAAAUUCGUAGAUAUUCGGAGGAACACCAGUGGCGAAGGCGGCUCACUGGCUCGAUACUGACGCUGAGGUGCGAAAGCGUGGGGAGCAACCAGG